CUGUGCCUCUUAGUCAGGCUCAUGGCAGUCCAUGACACCCUAGUUCUGUGUCUGUAGUUGUUAAAGGUUUGCCCAGGACCCCAAGGUCUAAAAAUACUACAUGGAUGCUGCAAACAACAACUCCAACAUGAUGGUGAUGAUUUUCAUCAGCAGCAAGAGCAAAGGCUGUGGCUGUUCUGACCAAAGAAAGAGAAGGAAAGUUGUAGGAAAGGAGAAGGAACAAGGGACUACAGCUCAGGAAAAAAGUCAUGCGUAGGAGUAUCUUGGAAGAUAUCUCAGCCUUGAGGAGGGACCAAGCUUGUUUUCUGCUGCUCCAGAGAACAGGACCCUGAACAAUGGAUGCAAGCUACAAGAAAAGAGAUUCCACCUCAACAUUAGGAA